CAGCAGCCGCGGUAAUACCGAGGGUGCAAGCGUUAAUCGGAAUUACUGGGCGUAAAGCGCGCGUAGGUGGUUUGUUAAGUUGGAUGUGAAAUCCCCGGGCUCAACCUGGGAACUGCAUCCAAAACUGGCAAGCUAGAGUAUGGUAGAGGGUGGUGGAAUUUCCUGUGUAGCGGUGAAAUGCGUAGAUAUAGGAAGGAACACCAGUGGCGAAGGCGACCACCUGGACUGAUACUGACACUGAGGUGCGAAAGCGUGGGGAGCAAACAGGAUUAGAUACCCCGGUAGUCCCUGUCUCUUAUAC
rnacentral:rRNA from 1 species